rnacentral:rRNA from 1 species
CUUACCCUACGGGACGUAGCAGUGGGGGAUAUUGCACAAUGGGGGGAACCCUGAUGCAGCGACGCCGCGUGGGUGAAGGAGCGUUUCGGCGCGUAAAGCCCUAUCGGCAGGGAAGAAGAUGACGGUACCUGACCAAGAAGCCCCGGCUAAUUACGUGCCAGCAGCCGCAGUAAUACGUAGGGGGCAAGCGUUAUCCGGAUUUACUGGGUGUAAAGGGGGCGCAGACGGCAAUGCAAGCCAGGAGUGAAAGCCCGGGGCCCAACCCCGGGACUGCUCUUGGAACUGCAUG